AUUCCAACUCCGAGAGCGUACUGAUGUUGCUGCGGUGAAAAAGCUCUGCCGAGGUUGUCUGGCCCACACCCAUGAGGGUGUAUAGUGACUGAGGAGCGUGACUGCACUUGCUGGUGUGGUACGGUACUCACAACCCCUACCUUGAGGCAACUAGAGUGUUUCAAGCAGGCGUGUGCCUUGAAUACCUUGGCAUGGGAGAGUGACGUAGGACGUUGAUUCAACGUGUUGUACGUUGGAGCUUCUGUAAUGAUGAAGAGGAACCGUAGUUGUGUUGUUGUUUUUGGGGGUUCUUGUAUCUGUACCUCAGAGGUGAAGUUCUUAAAUCGUGAAGCGACGCACAAAGGUGACGGCAUUAUCCAAUGAUGUGUUCAUUA
rnacentral:rRNA from 1 species